GCGGGCAUCCCAUUGGAGGGGCUUAUCCCUACGAAGGAUAAGUUGAGAGUUCGAAUCUUUCUGCCCGUGCCA
rnacentral:tRNA from 1 species